rnacentral:rRNA from 1 species
GACGAACGCUGGCGGCGUGCCUAAUACAUGCAAGUAGAACGCUGAAGAGAGGAGCUUGCUCUUCUUGGAUGAGUUGCGAACGGGUGAGUAACGCGUAGGUAACCUGCCUUGUAGCGGGGGAUAACUAUUGGAAACGAUAGCUAAUACCGCAUAACAAUGGAUGACACAUGUCAUUUAUUUGAAAGGGGCAAUUGCUCCACUACAAGAUGGACCUGCGUUGUAUUAGCUAGUAGGUGAGGUAAUGGCUCACCUAGGCGACGAUACAUAGCCGACCUGAGAGGGUGAUCGGCCACACUGAGACUGAGACACGGCCCAGACUCCUACGGGGGGCAGCAGUAGGGAAUCCUCGGCAAUGGGGGCAACCCUGACCGAGCAACGCCGCGGGAGUGAAGAAGGUUUUCGGAUCGUAAAGCUCUGUUGUAAGUCAAGAACGGGUGUGAGAGUGGAAAGUUCACACUGUGACGGUAGCUGACCAGAAAGGGACGGCUAACUACGUG